UACGUAGGGUGCAAGCGUUGUCCGGAAUUAUUGGGCGUAAAGAGCUCGUAGGCGGUUUGUCGCGUCGAAUGUGAAAGCCCGGGGCUCAACCCCGGGCCUGCAUUCGAUACGGGCAGACUAGAGUUCGGUAGGGGAGUCUGGAAUUCCUGGUGUAGCGGUGAAAUGCGCAGAUAUCAGGAGGAACACCGGUGGCGAAGGCGGGACUCUGGGCCGAUACUGGCGCUGAGGAGCGAAAGCGUGGGGAGCAAACAGG
rnacentral:rRNA from 1 species